UUAUUUCUCUUCAAUCUCUCCUCUUUGUCAUUCUCAAAUGCUCCUCCAGGUGCUGAGGACGAUUGGCCGCUUGGGAAUACACCUCAGAACUGGUUCUAGCUUGCGUCGUAAGCCGCUCGUGGGCCUGGUGUGGUUACGGGUUUUAAAGAUCACCACCUUUUGCUCACGUGAGGGAUUACCGACUUCCAUGUUUGUUCUGUUCGUUGGCGGUGCCAAAACAAAGACGAAUAAAUGACAUGCCCCCAAGAUAACUUUAGAGUGUGAUGUGUGCCUAAACCUAACAAAGUAGUUUCAUCCACUAGUUUUGGUGCUAAUGUAAGAGUGAAACUGUAUGAUGUAAAUAUAAUUACAUGUAUUAGUUAUGACCACUAGUCGACGCUGUUCAGGGCGUCUGGGGGGUGUGAGGAAAGAAAGGGGAGAAGAAGGGAACUUGGCGGUUCAGUUGGAUUGUGGAGUUGGACUAAAGUUAUGAGUAAAACCCA